AAUCAACGCUGGCGGCGUGCCUAACACAUGCAAGUCGAACGCGAAAGGGGCUUCGGCCCUGAGUAGAGUGGCGAACGGGUGAGUAACACGUGGGUGAUCUACCUUCGAGUGGGGGAUAACGUUCCGAAAGGAGCGCUAAUACCGCAUGACGUUCUGGGUUUGAAGACCUGGAAACCAAAGCCGGGGACCGCAAGGCCUGGCGCUAGAAGAGGAGCCCGCGCCUGAUUAGCUAGUUGGUGAGGAAUGGCUCACCAAAGGCAACGAUCAGUAGCCGGCCUGAGAGGGCGGACGGCCACACUGGGACUGAGACACGGCCCAGACUCCUACGGGAGGCAGCAGUGGGGAAUUGUUCGCAAUGGGCGCAAGCCUGACGACGCAACGCCGCGU
rnacentral:rRNA from 1 species